UCAAAAAGAGAUUGCUGGCAUUCAGUCGGCGACUUCACGCCAGAAUACGAAAGACCAGGUAUAUGCACAAAAUGAGAUGCUUGCUUAUCAACAGAAGGAGUCUACUGCUCGCGUUGCGUCUAUUAUGGAAAACACCAAUCUUUCCAAGCAACAGCAGGUUUCCGAGAUUAUGCGCCAAAUGCUUACUCAAGCUCAAACGGCUGGUCAGUAUUUUACCAAUGACCAAAUCAAAGAAAUGACUCGCAAGGUUAGUGCUGAGGUUGACUUAGUUCAUCAGCAAACGCAGAAUCAGCGGUAUGGCUCUUCUCAUAUUGGCGCUACUGCAAAGGAUAUUUCUAAUGUCGUCACUGA
rnacentral:rRNA from 1 species